CUGUACUCCUGUGGCCAAGAAAUUGAAAAGCUUCGUGGGAUUUGGUUCUGGCCAGAAUGUAAUGAUGCAUAACCAGACAUAACUCCUUGCUAACUCCCGUCCAGGACUGAACACAAGUACUACAACCAAUGUUAGCCAGCAGGGACCGUCAUUAAUAGCGAGCCAGUUCAGCAGGUACCCCCCAAUGGCGUCGUUAUGGUUGGAGGUUUGCUACCUUUGAGCAGUGAAAGAUACAUGAGUACUGUUGGGUGUGGAAAAAAAUAAAAACCCCACUAGAAUGGUAAGAAAAAUUUUUGACAUUUUUUUCUCCCCAGCAGAAAUGGCCAAAUCUAACUUAUAUGGGUCAAAAAAGGAGAAUGGCCAAACUGUGGAACGGCCGGCAUUAUCACCCAGGCAAGCAAAGGCGAUAUUUUGCCAGAUUGAUAAAUAAUUUCCAGGCUCGCCUGUAAACAAAUACACAGAAUUGAAAGAUGCGGUGAAUGGCAAAUGCCGCCAACAGGAAAAGGAAAAGAGCCUCUUGUAGAUAUUAAUUGGCCAUAGAGCACCAAUGAGACCGUGCAACAUGCCGUUUCAAGAUGUUUUAUCCGAAAUACGAGUUUUUGAACGGGAACGAAGAAAGAAACCAAAUUACGCACACCCCACCUCUGCACUAUCAUCUCCCGAGACAACUAAAUAUGUCCCGACCAACCAGAACAGCAAAGUUACCAUACUACGAGAACCGGUUUAAGGUAUGGAAAGAAAAAUGAGUUUCCUUACUGCGAAAUUACAAGCUAAGGAAUUGGCACAACAAAACGUAACACAUUCAUCAUCAGUGGUUUGCCACAGAUGUGGUCAGAAAGGACACAGGCUAUGUUCACACACAUGGCGUAGCCUACGCCUUUGUGUGUGAACUAGGCAUUGGUGUUAUUAAAGCCACUCACUACACCACGUCCUUGGCGUUAUUAACGCUACCUGCAGACCCCAGAUUAGCUAACGCCAGUGAUGCUUGAAUGAUUUUGACCUCAGGUCAAGAGAUUGGCCAAUCACGAUUAAUUUUGCAAUAACUAAACAAGCUAGCUAUGCUAGAACUGAAAGCGUGCGAACAGUUCACGGUGUCUUUCUUGAGUGAUUUUAUUUUGAGAGUGCAGGCCUAUUGUUUGGAUAAGAAAAGUCUAUUUGUAUUUCACAAUGAUGGUUAAAAGCAGAGUAACAUGGAGGGCUAACGAAGUCAGCGACCUAAUUGCGCUUUGGGGCAGUCCUGAAUUUCGCGACAGGAUAGAGGUGAGGAAUUGGAAGUCAAGCGCUGGCAAUCAGAUGGCUGUUUUUAAAGAAAUGGCUGAACGUCUACACCGCCUUGGUCAUCCAAAAAAGGACGGCCAUCAUGUACAAACAAAAAUAAAGGGACUCCGGGCUUCUUUCAAAGCCGUCAAAGAUAAAAUGAACAAGUCAGGUGCAGGGACCGACAGCCUGGGCGAUUUUGAAUAUUUCGAAGAAAUCAACAACAUUCUGGGCCAUAGGCCAAACGUGAACCCUUCUCCUCUAACAAUCGGAGACUUGUCCGUUUCACGUGAAGUCGGACUGGCGGGCAACCGUAUGCCUAUGCCCAGUGGCCAGAGGCCUAGGCCUGCAUCCUGCAACAGGAUAAGUGAAAAUGAGAACAAUGCGAGCAAAGACAGUGUGUCCCCGGUCGACUUUCUUCGGCGACCAGGUAGUAGUUGUGGUAGGAGUAGUGGAAAUAGUGAUGAUGCACUCCCGACGUUCAAAGGUGUUCCGUAUAGUCGAGGAAUGAUUAUUGGGUUUGAAGAUUGGUAUGCAGAAGAUGAUGCGAUGGAAUCUGCAUCGCUUGGCACAAAUUCUGAAGGCAAGUACAGACUACUAAAAAUAUAUAAAUUGGCAGAGCAUUAAAUGUAUCCUAUUUAUUGAACAUGAUUAUUGAACAUGAUUAUCUAAACAUUGUGUAUUUAUCAACAAUUGCACUUGACAAUGUAAUUUGUUCUUUUUUUUACAGAAGAAUUAACAAGCGAAUAAUUUGCAUUUUGGCGUAGCACUUGGCUUGUAAACUCUUAAUAUUUUCUUUUUAUUAUUAGUUUAACUGAAAAUCAAAUGCAUUGUUCUCCAUAAGGUCACAAUGGUGAAGUGGGGGAUGAUGUAUUGGGAACUCCAGACUCAUCAAACAAAGUAGAUGAAGUGGAAGGAGUGGAUGAAUCUGUGCCAGAAACGCCUGUCACUGGAGAACCGAGAGAUAAAAAGCGAAGACUACUAAGUGGGACAAAAAAGGAUAGGGCCAUUGACGCUGUGAGCAAAAGAAUAAAAGAAGCAUCAGAUUCUAACUGGCGUAGAAUGUCAUCCAUGUAUGAGCGAAUGCGGGAAGAAGACAAAGCUGACAGGGCAGAAGAGCUGCAGAUUAUGCGUACGAUGACGUCGGUGUUAGAGAGGAGCUUGCAGGAUAGAAGAGAGGAAAGAAGAGAGCCAAGAGAAGCAAUGAUGGAAGACAGACGCGCAAGAGAGGCUUCGAUGACUCAGCUUUUCUCAAUGAUUCGUCCACAUCAACCACAACAACCACAUCAAUAUCAGUACAACAAUCACUAUACACAAUUGCAAUAGUUUUCUCUUCUGCAUGACCUUAAAACAACUCCUGAAUUUCUAGAAUUAGAUUUUUAUACAUUGCUUACUUUUCAAACUGUGCAUACAGAAUAU
rnacentral:misc_RNA from 1 species